rnacentral:lncRNA from 1 species
CAGGCAGCGAAUGAGGCUGGAACUCUUGUACAGCAGACCCUGAGAAAUAAAUGGAUACUAGAGCUUUGACGGUGUAGGACAACACAAUCCAAGAGAAAAGAUGAGGACAUUCAUAGCCUUUGUACCACAUGAGACAGAUGGGAUGAAGGAGAAAGAGAAUAAAUAAAGAACCUGUCAUUUUCAGAGGGUUUGAAGACAUGAUAUAUAAGAAGAGCAUUAGGAGGACAUGUAGAAGGAGCAAUGAAAAGGAGAACAGAGGAAAAAGAUAGAGAGAAAAAUUCUGUUUUUACAGAGGAUUGUGGACACAAGACACGUCUGGACACCACAGGAGAUCACACUGUGCUUAGAGGAUACAACCGUUGACACACCGUGAGACUCAGUGGACACUGCAAUAUAUAAAAUCACAGCAAGAAGGAACAUCAGACUGAGAAGGACGAAUCAAGUUCCUCUGCUAUGGUAAAUACCAAAUAAUUCUUCUGAAUGUCUCAACAAAACUGUGCCACAGACACAGAGUCUGUCUUGCUGUCUAUGCUGGAGAGGCUGAAGAUCAACUCCUCAGAAGUUAAGCGAUGCCAGCAAACACCUUCAGAGAGCCAGAAUGAUGGGGUAUCUGGCCUUGUUGUGACACUGGGUCAAAAUAACAGAGUGGAGCAAUGUGUAUCUAGCACUGAUGGUGCUACAGAACAUGAGGAUCACACCAAGCAAUGGGUUUGUAGCGUUGGUUCAGAUAGGCAUUCUGAUGUUGAUAAUCAGGUUUCAGCAUGGGGUCCUACAGGUUCCACUUCAAAUGGUUUCAGAGCUUCUACACCUGUUAAUGGUGGCCUAGGCUCUCCUAACACUGAUUCCAGAUGGAGAAGGAAGCAGCUGCUACCAACUACAGGUGCUGUGGACACACUCUCUGUCUCUCCCAGACAGGAACCUGAAAAAAACCUGACUUUGGCAUGCAAGAAUGUACCCACUCUGGACACAGCAGGUAAAUACCCAAACAAUGACAUGAAAUCUUUCUGCACCGAGCUUGGAGGCCACCGGGACAUUAUGGACCCCAUGCCUAUUGUCCCGGCAGACAUUGGUGAAGUGAAACCACACAGCGAGUUAAAUUUUGCUGCAUUUUGUGACACUGCCAAGGGGGAGAACGGCAGCUUGGUUCCACAUUUGAAACUUUACCACUGGAGAGCUGCAGGAACUCCUACCAGGACAGAGCACAUGGGACAAAUGGGACGAGAUGAUCUAAUUCCUACACGAGGCUUGACACAUGGACUUGGCUUCCAGGAGAUUAAUAUUUUAAAACAUCAUAAUGUCAACAGCUCCACCCUAGCCAAAAUUCCAGAGGGUAACAUUUCUACCGCUGAAGUUUCCUUCAUGGUGCCAGGUGAAAUGUCAAUCUCUUCACAGCACCCAGAUAGAAGAGAAUGCCUUACAUAUGAUGCCUCACCUUUCAAAUUUCUGAGUAAUUACACAGCUUCACAUGGCAACUUAUUACAAAACAAUGUGGCCUCUUCUUCUGGACCAUGCAACGAUCUCAGUCAAGGCUGGUUAGGUGGGAAUGUUAGCUUUGGAAGCACGACUGAAAUUCCGGAGCAAGCAGCUGGGAUGAACAAGCACGUUUCACUCCUUAGAGAAGCAGAGAAUACGCCACCAAGAGCUGCCAAGAAGAAGAGGAAUUGGAUCGACAAGAAAACAAAGCACUGGAGCCAGAGAAUAAGAGAGAGGUGGCGAUCAAAACAAGACAGUAUGAAGAAAGGAGAAAGGGGUGGUGUUGGAGCCAUGGGCUAUGGUGUGAGAGAGACACAGGAAGGCAAAGAAGCAGUGGAGAAGACAAAAGCACAGGAUGCAGACCAACAGCAAGUUACAGAGGUCCUGGUAAAAAACACUCCUGGUGAGGAAGAGGAUACAUCUUGCCAGUCACAGUUGGGGAGGUACCCUGGGAGACAUGUGAGGACGUUCAGUGACUUUCAAUUCAACUUAAGCCCCAUAAACUUGGUGGAGGAAAUUCUCACUGGAGAGGAGUGGUCACACUUCUUGUCGCAGAAAGAAGGUCCCAUGCCCACUGGGACUUCACAGUUAUCAAAAAUAGACAGGGGGAUCUGGGUUCAGAAAGAGUGGACCAAUGGUGGACGACAGGAGGCAGGAUGCCAAAGCAUCCCAUCGGAGGCAAGAGUUCACAUGGAAGAGGAAAACAGCAGCGAUGCUGGGGAGAGUGGCUGUCAAAGUUAUGUAUUCUGUGAUCCAAAGACCCGUGGGUUCAGAAGCGCAAUGCCUCUUGUGAUGGACACAGUGCCAACAGUGGAACCAGAAAAAGAAGUGGACUUCUCUUUCUUAAAGCCGGUAGAUGUUCUGGACAACUCUGGUCUUUUGAGCCGGAUCCGUGUGAGUCGCAAGAGGGAGCGCCGCAUGCCAGCACGAAGCAUCUGGGACCAGAGGAAGCGGGAGCUGGAAGAGCUUCUGGAAGGAAAGGAGAGAUCCUGGAGGUUUCGAGACCCUGCAGGUCCAGGAAGUGAGCAGCUUCUUCCUGAAGCACAGACGAGUGAUGAAAAAAGGGAGGCAGAUGUUGAAAUAAUACCGCUGUAUCCCCUGCGGGACCCUCAUCGAUCACUAUCCUGUCUUCUGCCUUCCUCCCGGCACCCGUUUGACUCUCCAAAUGCAGAUUCUUUUGAAACGGUCAUCAAAAAGAGGAAGAUAAGGGACCUCCCUCAGGACACCCGCCAUGUCUGGUUUGCAGAGGAGUUGGUCACUGCCAUACCAUGUGGCCCAUCCUAUGACUUUGACAUUGAAGAUGAGAUGGGCUCAGAGUCAUCCCUCCCCCAAUGGAUCUUGGCUCUGAAGAAGAAGAGGGGAGAGAGGAAGCCAAGGCACUGAAUCCUUUCCCGGUGGAGUGGAAGAGCAGCAAUGGGAACUCCUUCCAAAAAGCCAGUACAUGGAAAGGCUUUCAGACAGAAAUACUUCAGAAAUACUGUGUUCUUACACUAUUGCUCAUGUUGACCCUGUAGUUUCCAUGAAUACUGAGUGGUCAGUGUAGAAACAGAAAUACACAUCUUUACUCCUUAGUCAUGGCCAGUGUUACUCUUCCUGUUUAAGUGUUGAAGGGCUUGAGAUUUAAUGAUAAUAGUGAAAAAGGUACAAAGGAUCACAGCAUACCGACACUUGGUUUGUCUGUGGAAAUAUAUUUAAGUAAUAAAGACUGAAGGUUUUUGUGCA